rnacentral:rRNA from 1 species
UAACCCGCCUCUUAGCGGGGGAUAACUAUUGGAAACGAUAGCUAAUACCGCAUAAAAGUCGAUAUCGCAUGAUAUUGAUUUGAAAGGUGCAAUUGCAUCACUAAGAGAUGGACCUGCGUUGUAUUAGCUAGUUGGUGAGGUCACGGCUCACCAAGGCGACGAUACAUAGCCGACCUGAGAGGGUGAUCGGCCACACUGGGACUGAGACACGGCCCAG